UGGUCAUAUACCAAGGCUCUCAGGAUCCUGUGUUCCUGAUCUGCUGUGGAGUUGACCGCAAAGCAAAAAUCAUUCCAGUGGGCUUCUGGAUCUCCAGAAGACCCGCAGGAAACAAGU
rnacentral:snoRNA from 1 species